rnacentral:rRNA from 1 species
ACCCUUGAGAGUGGCGAACGGGUGAGUAAUAUAUCGGAACGUGCCCAGUCGUGGGGGAUAACGUAGCGAAAGUUACGCUAAUACCGCAUACGAUCUAAGGAUGAAAGCGGGGGAUCGCAAGACCUCGCGCGAUUGGAGCGCCGAUAUCAGAUUAGGUAGUUGGUGAGGUAAAGGCUCACCAAGCCAACGAUCUGUAGCUGGUCUGAGAGGACGACCAGCCACACUGGAACUGAGACACGGUCCAGACUCCUACGGGAGGCAGCAGUGGGGAAUUUUGGACAAUGGACGCAAGUCUGAUCCAGCCAUUCCGCGUGCAGGAUGAAGGCCCUCGGGUUGUAAACUGCUUUUGUACGGAACGAAAAGGUUUCUAUUAAUACUAGGAGCUCAUGACGGUACCGUAAGAAUAAGCACCGGCUAACUACGUG